rnacentral:rRNA from 1 species
AACGAACGCUGGCGGCGCGUCUUAAGCAUGCAAGUCGGCGGAUUCCCCAGCUUGCUGGAGAUGAGAGCGGCGGACUGGUGAGUAACGCGUGGGCGACGCGCCCCGUGGACCGGGAUAGCCUGUGGAAACACAGGGUAAUACCGGGCGAGCUCCCCCGCGCCGGAGGCGGGGAGGAAAGGAGCCGAGGCUCCGCCACGGGAGCGGCCCGCGUCCCAUCAGCUGGAUGGCGGUGCAAGGGACCACCAUGGCUAUGACGGGUACCCGGCCUCAGAGGGCGACCGGGCACAUUGGGACUGAGAUACGGCCCAGACUCC